ACUGAUUAAUGAUAACAGUGCAUCAUAAAACCUUCAGGAGGGAAGAAGGUUUUGUGGGCCAUUUGUUUGUUUCUGGGUGGCAGUUUUAAGUUAUUAGUUUUUAAGAUCAGU
rnacentral:miRNA from 1 species